GACGAGCGCUGGCGGCGUGCUUAACACAUGCAAGUCGAACGGAAAGGCCCUGCUUGCAGGGUACUCGAGUGGCGAACGGGUGAGUAACACGUGGGUGAUCUGCCCUGCACUUCGGGAUAAGCCUGGGAAACUGGGUCUAAUACCGGAUAGGAGCCAUUUUUAGUGUGAUGGUUGGAAAGUUUUUUCGGUGUAGGAUGAGCUCGCGGCCUAUCAGCUUGUUGGUGGGGUAAUGGCCUACCAAGGCGGCGACGGGUAGCCGGCCUGAGAGGGUGGACGGCCACAUUGGGACUGAGAUACGGCCCAGACUCCUACGGGAGGCAGCAGUGGGGAAUAUUGCACAAUGGGCGCAAGCCUGAUGCAGCGACGCCGCGUGGGGGAUGACGGCCUUCGGGUUGUAAACUCCUUUCGCUAGGGACGAAGCUUUUUGUGACGGUACCUAGAUAAGAAGCACCGGCUAACUACGG
rnacentral:rRNA from 1 species